CAGUCGCCGCGGGAAUACGUAGGGUGCAAGCGUUAAUCGGAAUUACUGGGCGUAAAGCGUGCGCAGGCGGUUUGUUAAGACAGAUGUGAAAUCCCCGGGCUCAACCUGGGAACUGCAUUUGUGACUGGCAAGCUAGGGUAUGGCAGAGGGGGGUGGAAUUCCGCGUGUAGCAGUGAAAUGCGUAGAUAUGCGGAGGAACACCGAUGGCGAAGGCAGCCCCCUGGGCCAAUACUGACGCUCAUGCACGAAAGCGUGGGGAGCAAACAGGAUUAGAGACCCGAGUAGUCCCUGUCUCUUAUAC
rnacentral:rRNA from 1 species